rnacentral:rRNA from 1 species
AGUGAACGCUGGCGGUAGGCCUAACACAUGCAAGUCGAACGGCAGCACAGGAGAGCUUGCUCUCUGGGUGGCGAGUGGCGGACGGGUGAGGAAUACAUCGGAAUCUACUCUGUCGUGGGGGAUAACGUAGGGAAACUUACGCUAAUACCGCAUACGACCUACGGGUGAAAGCAGGGGACCUUCGGGCCUUGCGCGAUUGAAUGAGCCGAUGUCGGAUUAGCUAGUUGGCGGGGUAAAGGCCCACCAAGGCGACGAUCCGUGGCUGGUCUGAGAGGAUGAUCGCCCACACUGGAACUAGUACACGGUCCAGACUCCUACGGGAGGCAGCAGUGGGGAAUAUUGGACAAUGGGCGCAAGCCUGAUCCAGCCAUACCGCGUGGGUGAAGAAGGCCUUCGGGUUGUAAAGCCCUUUUGUUGGGAAAGAAAUCCAGCUGGCUAAUACCCGGUUGGGAUGACGGUACCCAAAGAAUAAGCACCGGCUAACUUCGUGCCAGCAGCCGCGGUAA